UACGUAGGGGCUAGCGUUGUCCGGAAUCAUUGGGCGUAAAGAGCUCGUAGGCGGCUUGUCGCGUCGGCUGUGAAAACUCGGGGCUCAACCCCGAGCCUGCAGUCGAUACGGGCAGGCUAGAGUCCGGCAGGGGAGACUGGAAUUCCUGGUGUAGCGGUGAAAUGCGCAGAUAUCAGGAGGAACACCGGUGGCGAAGGCGGGUCUCUGGGCCGGAACUGACGCUAAGGAGCGAAAGCGUGGGGAGCGAACAGG
rnacentral:rRNA from 1 species